rnacentral:rRNA from 1 species
AGAGUUUGAUUAUGGCUCAGGAUGAACGCUAGCUACAGGCUUAACACAUGCAAGUCGAGGGGCAGCAUUGGAGUAGCAAUACUUCAGAUGGCGACCGGCGCACGGGUGAGUAACACGUAUCCAACCUGCCGCUUACUCGGGGAUAGCCUUUCGAAAGAAAGAUUAAUACCCGAUGGUAUAAAGAGUUCGCAUGUUCUCUUUAUUAAAGAAUUUCGGUAAGCGAUGGGGAUGCGUUCCAUUAGAUAGUUGGCGGGGUAACGGCCCACCAAGUCUACGAUGGAUAGGGGUUCUGAGAGGAAGGUCCCCCACAUUGGAACUGAGACACGGUCCAAACUCCUACGGGAGGCAGCAGUGAGGAAUAUUGGUCAAUGGACGAGAGUCUGAACCAGCCAAGUAGCGUGAAGGAUGACUGCCCUAUGGGUUGUAAACUUCUCUUAUAAGGGAAUAAAGUGAGGGACGUGUCCCUUUUUGUAUGUACCUUAUGAAUAAGGAUCGGCUAACUCCGUGCCAGCAGCUGC